rnacentral:rRNA from 1 species
AUGCAGCCGCCAUCGCUGCAUCCGCCGGCGGCGGCGGCCACACCGCGGGGUCGAAAGGGGCGACCCAGGAGAGACCGGACGUGGCACAUCACGGUGUUCAACUACAUGCCGCUGCCGUGGGAUCAGAGGGACUGGGCGGAGCUUCCCCAGGACGCGAUCUCGUGCAUCUUCCGCAAGAUGAACCAGUUCGAGCUCCUGCUAGGCGCCGCGGCGGUGUGCCGCUCCUGGCGCCGCGCCGCGUGGCACGUUCCGCCCUCCGGCUGGCAGGCCACCCCCGGCAGCCUUGUGCGGGCCGCCCUGCGGCUCAGCGCCGGGCAGUGCGAGCAGUAA